GCAGGCUCAUCUAAAAAGGACCACAGGGUCCAAAAACAAAAAAUAAAUUAUUCACUGUUUAAUAAACUUAUUUUUUGUUUUUGGACCCUGUGGUCCUUUUUAGAUGAGCCUG